GCCUGGGUAGCUCAGUGGUUGAGCAUCUGUCUUUGGCUCAGGGUGUGAUCCUGAGGUCGUGGGAUCAGUCCCACAUCAGGCA
rnacentral:tRNA from 1 species